UGAGGAAUAUUGGUCAAUGGACGAGAGUCUGAACCAGCCAAGUAGCGUGAAGGAUGACUGCCCUAUGGGUUGUAAACUUCUUUUAUACGGGAAUAAAGUGAGGCACGUGUGCCUUUUUGUAUGUACCGUAUGAAUAAGGAUCGGCUAACUCCGUGCCAGCAGCCGCGGUAAUACGGAGGAUCCGAGCGUUAUCCGGAUUUAUUGGGUUUAAAGGGAGCGUAGGCGGACGCUUAAGUCAGUUGUGAAAGUUUGCGGCUCAACCGUAAAAUUGCAGUUGAUACUGGGUGUCUUGAGUACAGUAGAGGCAGGCGGAAUUCGUGGUGUAGCGGUGAAAUGCUUAGAUAUCACGAAGAACUCCGAUUGCGAAGGCAGCCUGCUGGACUGUAACUGACGCUGAUGCUCGAAAGUGUGGGUAUCAAACAGGAUUAGAUACCCUGGUAGUCCACACAGUAAACGAUGAAUACUCGCUGUUUGCGAUAUACAGUAAGCGGCCAAGCGAAAGCGUUAAGUAUUCCACCUGGGGAGUACGCCGGCAACGGUGAAACUCAAAGGAAUUGACGGGGGCCCGCACAAGCGGAGGAACAUGUGGUUUAAUUCGAUGAUACGCGAGGAACCUUACCCGGGCUUGAAUUGCAACUGAAUGAUGUGGAGACAUGUCAGCCGCAAGGCAGUUGUGAAGGUGCUGCAUGGUUGUCGUCAGCUCGUGCCGUGAGGUGUCGGCUUAAGUGCCAUAACGAGCGCAACCCUUAUCGAUAGUUACCAUCAGGUUAUGCUGGGGACUCUGUCGAGACUGCCGUCGUAAGAUGUGAGGAAGGUGGGGAUGACGUCAAAUCAGCACGGCCCUUACGUCCGGGGCUACACACGUGUUACAAUGGGGGGUACAGAAGGCAGCUACACGGCGACGUGAUGCUAAUCCCUAAAGCCUCUCUCAGUUCGGAUUGGAGUCUGCAACCCGACUCCAUGAAGCUGGAUUCGCUAGUGAUCGCGCAUCAGCCACGGCGCGGUGAAUACGUUCCC
rnacentral:rRNA from 1 species